UACGUAGGGGGCAAGCGUUGUCCGGAAUUAUUGGGCGUAAAGAGCGUGUAGGCGGUCCGGUAAGUCGGCUGUGAAAGUCCAGGCUCAACCCUGGGAUGGCCGGUCGAUACUGCCGGACUAGAGUUCGGAAGAGGCGAGUGGAAUUCCCGGUGUAGCGGUGAAAUGCGCAGAUAUCGGGAGGAACACCUAUGGCGAAGGCAGCUCGCUGGGACGUUACUGACGCUGGAGACGCGAAAGCGUGGGGAGCAAA
rnacentral:rRNA from 1 species